UACGAAGGGGGCUAGCGUUGUUCGGAGUUACUGGGCGUAAAGGGCGCGUAGGCGGCGCAUCAAGUCAGGCGUGAAAGCCCUGGGCUCAACCCGGGAAUUGCGCUUGAGACUGGUGUGCUUGAGUACGGGAGAGGAUAGUGGAAUUCCCAGUGUAGAGGUGAAAUUCGUAGAUAUUAGGAAGAACACCGGUGGCGAAGGCGGCUCACUGGCUCGUAACUGACGCUCAUGCACGACAGCGUGGGGAUCAAACAGG
rnacentral:rRNA from 1 species